UGAGGAAUAUUGGUCAAUGGGCGCGAGCCUGAACCAGCCAAGUAGCGUGCAGGAAGACGGCCCUAUGGGUUGUAAACUGCUUUAGAGAGGGGAUAAAGUGAGGCGCGUGCCGCUUCAUUGCAGGUACCUUUCGAAAAAGGAUCGGCUAACUCCGUGCCAGCAGCCGCGGUAAUACGGAGGAUCCGAGCGUUAUCCGGAUUUAUUGGGUUUAAAGGGUGCGUAGGCUGUACUGUAAGUCAGCUGUGAAAAUCCCCCGCUCAACGGGGGGAGUGCAGUGGAAACUGCAGUGCUGGAGGGCACAAGAGGCAGGCGGAAUUCAUGGUGUAGCGGUGAAAUGCAUAGAUAUUAUGAAGAACUCCGAUUGCGAAAGCAGCCUGCUGGGGUGCAUCUGACGCUGAGUCACGAAAGUGCGGGUAUCAAACAG
rnacentral:rRNA from 1 species